rnacentral:sRNA from 1 species
CCUGUGCUACAACCGCACAGAACAGGUAGUAAGAUUUUGCUCUAUAGCAAAGCGCCUGGGGAUGGCGAGUCUGAGUUUAUAA